AAAAUGGAUGCCAACAAAAAUACAACACUGAGCAGGCGCUGCAGAGGCAACAUUUGUCCUGCUCAGCUGCUUCCCUAGUAAACUUCUGGAUGGUGCAGGAGGUCACUAUAAAAUCUUGUGGAACAAUUUAAAGGGGUU